GCGUGGUUAGUUUAUCGGUAGAAUAUCUCGUUGCCAUUUUGGAAAGUGAUUACUUUUCAACCUUUUGCCUUUAUAGGGUAAAAGCAAAAACGAGGUGAGCCGGGUUCGAUUCCCGGACCGCGCA
rnacentral:tRNA from 1 species